rnacentral:rRNA from 1 species
UAAUUGAAGAGUUUGAUCAUGGCUCAGAUUGAACGCUGGCGGCAGGCCUAACACAUGCAAGUCGAGCGGAAACGGCAGUAUUGAAGCUUCGGUGGAUUUACUGGACGUCGAGCGGCGGACGGGUGAGUAACGGCUGGGAACCUGCCCUGACGAGGGGGAUAACCGUUGGAAACGACGGCUAAUACCGCAUAAUGUCUUAGUUCAUUACGAGCUGGGACCAAAGGUGGCCUCUACAUGUAAGCUAUCGCGUUGGGAUGGGCCCAGUUAGGAUUAGCUAGUUGGUAAGGUAAUGGCUUACCAAGGCAACGAUCCUUAGCUGGUUUGAGAGGAUGAUCAGCCACACUGGGACUGAGACACGGCCCAGACUCCUACGGGAGGCAGCAGUGGGGAAUAUUGCACAAUGGGGGAGACCCUGAUGCAGCCAUGCCGCGUGUGUGAAGAAGGCCUUCGGGUUGUAAAGCACUUUCAGCAGUGAGGAAGGUCGUGUACUUAAUACGUGCACGGCUUGACGUUAGCUGCAGAAGAAGCACCGGCUAACUCCGUGCCAGCAGCCGCGGUAAUACGGAGGGUGCGAGCGUUAAUCGGAAUUACUGGGCGUAAAGCGCAUGCAGGCGGUUUGUUAAGUCAGAUGUGAAAGCCCGGGGCUCAACCUCGGAACCGCAUUUGAAACUGGCAGGCUAGAGUCUUGUAGAGGGGGGUAGAAUUUCAGGUGUAGCGGUGAAAUGCGUAGAGAUCUGAAGGAAUACCAGUGGCGAAGGCGGCCCCCUGGACAAAGACUGACGCUCAGAUGCGAAAGCGUGGGUAGCAAACAGGAUUAGAUACCCUGGUAGUCCACGCCGUAAACGCUGUCUACUUGGAGGUUGAGGUUUUAGACUUUGGCUUUCGGCGCUAACGCAUUAAGUAGACCGCCUGGGGAGUACGGCCGCAAGGUUAAAACUCAAAUGAAUUGACGGGGGCCCGCACAAGCGGUGGAGCAUGUGGUUUAAUUCGAUGCAACGCGAAGAACCUUACCUACUCUUGACAUCCAGCGAAGCCUUUAGAGAUAGAGGCGUGCCUUCGGGAGCGCUGAGACAGGUGCUGCAUGGCUGUCGUCAGCUCGUGUUGUGAAAUGUUGGGUUAAGUCCCGCAACGAGCGCAACCCUUAUCCUUGUUUGCCAGCACGUAAUGGUGGGAACUCCAGGGAGACUGCCGGUGAUAAACCGGAGGAAGGUGGGGACGACGUCAAGUCAUCAUGGCCCUUACGAGUAGGGCUACACACGUGCUACAAUGGCAGAUACAGAGGGCAGCGAAGCUGCGAAGUGGAGCGAAUCCCUUAAAGUUUGUCGUAGUCCGGAUUGGAGUCUGCAACUCGACUCCAUGAAGUCGGAAUCGCUAGUAAUCGUGGAUCAGAAUGCCACGGUGAAUACGUUCCCGGGCCUUGUACACACCGCCCGUCACACCAUGGGAGUGGGCUGCACCAGAAGUAGAUAGCUUAACCUUCGGGAGGGCGUUUACCACGGUGUGGUUCAUGACUGGGGUGAAGUCGUAACAAGGUAGCCCUAGGGGAACCUGGGGCUGGAUCACCUCCUUA